UACAGAGGGUGCAAGCGUUGUUCGGAAUUACUGGGCGUAAAGCGCGUGUAGGCUGCGGAGUAAGUCGGAUGUGAAAUCCCUUGGCUUAACCAAGGAAGUGCAUCCGACACUGUUUCGCUUGAGUGUCGGAGGGGAUGGCGGAAUUCCCGGUGUAGAGGUGAAAUUCGUAGAUAUCGGGAGGAACACCUGUGGCGAAGGCGGCCAUCUGGACGACAACUGACGCUGAGACGCGAAAGCGUGGGUAGCAAACAGG
rnacentral:rRNA from 1 species